GACGAACGCUGGCGGCGUGCCUAAUACAUGCAAGUUGAGCGCUGAAGGUUGGUACUUGUACCAACUGGAUGAGCAGCGAACGGGUGAGUAACGCGUGGGGAAUCUGCCUUUGAGCGGGGGACAACAUUUGGAAACGAAUGCUAAUACCGCAUAAAAACUUUAAACACAAGUUUUAAGUUUGAAAGAUGCAAUUGCAUCACUCAAAGAUGAUCCCGCGUUGUAUUAGCUAGUUGGUGAGGUAAAGGCUCACCAAGGCGAUGAUACAUAGCCGACCUGAGAGGGUGAUCGGCCACAUUGGGACUGAGACACGGCCCAAACUCCUACGGGAGGCAGCAGUAGGGAAUCUUCGGCAAUGGACGAAAGUCUGACCGAGCAACGCCGCGGGAGUGAAGGAGGUUGUCGGAUCGUAAAACUCUGUUGGUAGAGAAGAACGUUGGUGAGAGUGGAAAGCUCAUCAAGUGACGGUAACUACCCAGAAAGGGACGGCUAACUACGUG
rnacentral:rRNA from 1 species